UGGAUCAGAACGAACGCUGGCGGCGUGCUUAAUACAUGCAAGUCGAGCGCGGGAAGCGGACGGAUCCCUUCGGGGUGAUGUCCGUGGAACGAGCGGCGGACGGGUGAGUAACACGUGGGCAACCUGCCCGUAAGACCGGGAUAACUCCGGGAAACCGGGGCUAAUACCGGAUAGGCUUUUGCCCCGCAUGGGGCAAAAGGGAAAGAUGGUUUCGGCCAUCGCUUACGGAUGGGCCCGCGGCGCAUUAGCUAGUUGGUGAGGUAACGGCUCACCAAGGGGACGAUGCGUAGCCGACCUGAGAGGGUGAUCGGCCACACUGGGAUUGAGACACGGCCCAAGAUCCUACGGGAGGCA
rnacentral:rRNA from 1 species